rnacentral:rRNA from 1 species
UACGAAGGGGGCUAGCGUUGUUCGGAAUUACUGGGCGUAAAACGCACGUAGGCGGAUACUUAAGUCAGGGGUGAAAUCCCGGGGCUCAACCCCGGAACUGCCUUUGAUACUGGGUAUCUCGAGUCCGGAAGAGGUGAGUGGAAUUCCGAGUGUAGAGGUGAAAAUUCGUAGAUAUUCGGAGGAACACCAGUGGCGAAGGCGGCUCACUGGUCCGGUACUGACGCUGAGGUGCGAAAGCGUGGGGAGCAAACAGG